rnacentral:lncRNA from 1 species
AGAAUUUUCUCCGGUGUGGUCAUCCUGCCUUCAGGAGGAAAAUAGAGCAAAAAGGUAGAACUUACUUCCACACCCAAGUUUCUCCUGAAAGCACUGUGCCUGUUUUGUUUGCUACACAUCUUGGGUAUGUAUGUUUGCAUCUAUGCAUGCAGGCAUGCAUGAGUUAUUUAUGUGUGUUAUUUGGUCCAGCCUUGAAGCUCCUUUUAUUUUUCAGUGAAUUGAAAGAAGGUAACCUUUGGAUGUAUAUAUUUUAGUGCUCCAGCAGAUUACCAGUGAAACAUGCCGACUCUCACCAAACCACCCCAUGUUGCCAAAUCUUCUCUCUUGGCC